UUUUUUUUUUUUUGGUUUUUUAGGGGUUUUUUGGCUGUGCCCAUGGCAUGUGGAAGUUCCUAGGCCAGGGAUUGAACUUGUGCAAUGGUAGCCCAAACUGCUGCAAGGAUAAUGUAGAUCCUUAAUCCACUGUACCACAAGGGAACUCUGAUCUUUUUUUUUCUUAAUGUCUUUUUCUAUAUAUUUCAUUCAUUUUCUAUUGGACUUUUGGUCUUUUGCUUUUAAAUUUCUAGGCACUUUUGAUACAUUAAGAAGAAGAACUGAGUUUUGUCUGUGAUGUGGGCUGCAAAACUUUUACUAGUUUAUCUUUGUUAUUGUUAUUUACGAUACUGAUAGAUUGGGUUAUUUUCUUGCUGCUGUUUUCCAUCUAGAAGGUUUUUUUUAAAUAUCAAUAUUUAAAUAGUAAAAUCUAUCAAUCUUUCCUUGGUGUUUGUGAAUCCUUAGUCAUAAUGUGAAGGUUUUUUCCACUAGAUUUACAAUUAGUUGUUGCUUGUUUUCUUUACUGACUUUAUUGCCUCAAUUUUUUUCUUUUAAACAUUUGAUUCAUUGGGAAUUCAUCCAAGUGUAAAUAUGGGUUAUAAAUCUAGUCAUCACCCAUUUUUUAUAAGUUUAUCUUUCCUUCCUUUUCCACAAUAAUUUUAAAUGUUCUUUGUAGUUUAUACAAAAUUGACCUCAAGUCAUCAGUGUAUAUUUCUAGACUGUCUGUUUCAUUGGUUUGUCUAUCCAGGCAUCAUUACCACAGUGUUUCAACUAUUAAUAUUUUGUAUUAUAUUUUAAUAUCUGGUAAAGCUAAUCUCUACUUCUCAGUGUUUCUCUUUCUUUCUCCUUUCUUCCUAUUGAUUCCCUGAACUUCUAAAACUUUUAAUAAAUGUACUGGCUAAUAAAAAAACCAAAAAAAAAAAACCCACCAUUUUUUAAAAAAACCUUGGUAUAUUUUACUGGAAUCACAUUAAUUUCACAAAUAAAUUUACAGAGAUCUUACAUAUUUUUUACCAUGUUGCAUCUGCAAAACUAGAACACAGUGUGUCUCCUGAUUUUCAAGUCUCUUUUGCUCUUUGUAUAGGUAUUCAAUACUUUUUUCAACUUAUUUAUAAGGAUUUUAUCUUUUAUUGCUAUUAUAAAUAGGAUCUAUUUUGCAUUGUAGCAUUUAGAAAAUGCCAAUUGUGUAUAUAAACUACUGAUUUUUUUUAAAUUGAAGUUUUGGUGGCUUACAAUAUUAGUUUCAGAUGUACAACAUAGUGAUUCAAUAUUUUUAUAGAUUAUGAAAUGAUCACCAUUAUGAGUCUAGUUACCAUCUGUCAGCAUACACAUAAAUUAAUACAAUAUUAUUGACUAUAUUCUUUAUGGUGUACAUUGCAUCCCAUGACUUACUUAUUUUAUAACUGGAAGUUUGUGUCUCUUAAUCCUCUUCUACUAUUUCACCCAUCUCCCUUCCUCCUCCCCUAAUUUGUUCUCUGUAUCUAUGAGUUUGCUUCUAUUAUGCUUAUUCUUUUGUUUUUUAUGUUCCACAUAACAGUGAAAUAUAUCUUUGUCUGAUUUAUUUCACUUAGCAUAAUACCUUCUAGGUCCAUCUAUGUUAUCACAAAUGGCAAGAUUUCAUCCUUCUUAUGGCUGAGUAAUAUUCCAAUGUGUGUGUGUGUGUGUGUGUGUGUGUGUGUGUGUGUGUACCAAAUCUUCUUUAUCCAUUCACCUGUCAAAGAACACUUAUGUUGCUUCUAUAUACUGGCCAUUGUAAAUAAUACUGCAAUGAAUUUUGGGAUGCAUGUAUUUUUUUGAAUUAGUGUUUCUGUUUUCUUUGCAUAAAUAUUAACUAUUGAUUUAUAAACUGUGUAUUCUCAUUUAUUAAUUCUACUCCUAUAGCUUUAUUAUCAUGGUAAUAUUUCAAACAGCCUGAAGGUUAGUACCUCCAAAACAAGGCUGAGUAUUAGUGCUGAUACUGGUAGUUUGUCUUAGUCUUGACUUCAGUCUGUAUAGGUGUAAUGUUUUCUUUUAAGUAUAAACCUGGCUUUUAAGGCUGAUACAGACAUUAACAUGUUAAAUCAUGUGUUUUGAAGCCAAAAAAAAAAAUGUUUUCCUCAAAUUUUUCAAAAAUUUUUUCAGCAUAUACAGAAAUACUCAUGAUUUUUUUCUUAGAUCUAUUAAUAUGAUUUUAAAAAGUUUGGAAGCUUUACUUCUUUUCCUAUUUUCUGGACCAGUUUAAAUGGCACUGGCAUCAUUUGCUCUUAAAAGUUUUGGUAGAAUUCAAAAUGAAAUCAUUCUGCCCUAGGAUGUUUAAGAAGCUAGCUUCUCUACCUUCUAUGGAAAUCUUCUACGGAAAUUACUCUGUUUAUAACUUCUGAGACUGUAUCCCAUUUUAAUACGGUAUUUAUGUAAUUGUAAAGGUUUUUUUAAAAAGUUGGCUCAAGAUUGUUUCUUAAAUGUCUUCAGAUCUGAUGGUUAUUUCUACACAAAAAUUUUUACGUGGUUGAUUGGCAUGUUUCCGACUCCUCUCCCACCCCUUCCCCCCAGCACCAUCUGUUUAUUCUUUAACUAGUUUAGCUGAGGGUGUAUUUUUUUUUCAAAAAUUAACAUUUUUAUUCUACUAAUUUUCUGUUUUCUAACUUAUUUAUAUCUGCUUUUAACUAUUUCUUUUGUCUUCUUUUAUUUUCUCAUUUAUCAUUUUUUUUCUUGAAUGGUUGAUUCAGAUUUGUAUUAGUUUUAUUUUUAAUUGGUUCAUCCAAUAUCUUUACAGUUUCUUUUGAGUGUGGUUUUUGGCUGUAUUGUUCUUACAGGCAAUAUAUUCAUUAUUGAUAUUUUGUAAAAAUUUUACACACCCAGCUUGACUAGACUUUCACUCAAGUACUGUUUUUUAUUUUUAUUUUUUUAUUUUUGUCUUUUUUUUUUGUCUUUUCUAGGACCGUACCCAUGGCAUAUGGAAGUUCCCAGGCUAGGGGUCUAAUCGGAGCUGUUGCCACUGGCCUUUGCCAGAGCCACAGCAAUGACAGAUCUGAGCCGCAUCUGCGAGCUACACCACAGCUCAUGGCAAUGCUGGAUCCUUAACCCAUUGAGCAAGGCCAGGGAUCGAACCCUCAACCUCAUGGUUCCUAGUCAGAUUCGUUUCCGCUGAGCCACGAUGGGAACUCCCAAGUAUUGUUUAAAGAAGAAUGUUUAAAUUUCCUCAUGAUAAUUAAUUGUUAUAAUGUUCUGUUAUUAAAUUUUAGUUUUAUUGCUUUGCAACUAGAGAAUGUUAUUGUCAUGAAUUGAAUGUUUGUAUUCAAAACUGAUAUGUUGAAGUGCUAAUGCCGAAGGUGAUGGUGUUUGGAGGUGCAGCCUUUAAGAGAUAUUCAGGUUUAGAUGACAUCAUGAGGGUGAUGUCCGCACGAUGGGACCUAUAAUAUGAGACUAGAGAGAUUAUUCUCUCUCUUUCUCUCUCUAUCUCUCUCUGUCCACCAUUUGAGGACACAGAGAGAAGAAACCUCUCUGAAGAGUGUUCUCACCAGAAGCCUAAUUAGCUGGCACCUUAAUCUUGAACCACCCAGCCUCCAGAAUUGUGAGAAAUAAAUGCUUAUUUCUUAAGCUACCC
rnacentral:lncRNA from 1 species